UGUCGUCUGACAGUUAUUCUGAAUUAAUAACCUUAAUUCUAAAAUCGUUCUGAAUUAAUAAUCACACAGCAGGUCUUCAACACUACUCCUGAAAAACUGUCUGUAACUUUAUAAGGAAUCAGAUUUACACUUAAUUCAUGUCAUUUAGUCUGAGACAGAACAGCAGCAGUAGGAGGAGGACAAUCCUACAGAGUACAGAGGAUUCAUAACUUUGUGAGAUUUUACCAGAACAGAUUAAACAAGUCCUGGAUCCAGCUGCAAUCAUGAAUCUGGUCUUUUAUGAAUUUCCAGCUGUUUAGCAGCUGCCUGAUUUCAGCAUUGAAUGUAUUUAAGGUGUCACACUGCACCCUGGUGGUUAAGAUUCAUGUAAAUCUAGACACGUUUUUAACUUAAUCUACAUCCAACACAACUCCCAUGAUCCUCAGUGUGUAACUUCAUCACAUGAUCUCCAGUCAAGCUGUUCACAUUUACCUGAUUACUAAUGACACUCAGCUGUUUGUACUCACUCUACUCCCUUUAAAUAAACAUAGGAUGUACCACAAAGCAGGAUUUCAGGGUUAAACUCGUAACCCAAAGUGAAACAAUACAGCUUUUAGGCUGGGCAGGUCACCAUGGCAACAUACUGUACACAGCUAACCUGUGGGGUAUUCCAGAAAGUUUGGUUAACUUACCAUUUGAUAAAUCAUAACCUCUGGGUUGAUUUACCCCAAACAGGCACACCAUGAGUAUGUCGGGUCCAAAACACCUGAGAAGAGUUAGUUUAAUCAACCUCCAACUGGUUACCCAGAGUUUAUGCGCGUGCACGGUGCAUAUAUAAAGACAUUUUCAAAGGAUCGCCGAUUUCACGAGUCACCAUGGAAACUCAAAGCGAAAAAAAGAGAGCGGCGUAUUUCACAGAGGCGGAGUUGGAGGUUUUAAUGCACGCUUAUGAGGAAUAUAAGCCAAUAAUAUUAAAAAGAAGCGAUACAGCUGCAUCGGCUAAAGCAAGAGAGUUGGCUUGGCAAAAUAUAACGGACAGAGUAAAUGCGUGUAAUCCUUCAGGAGCCACAAGAACUUUAAGCCAAGUCAAAAUGAAACAAAAACAUUCUGCAAAAAGGUAAUAUUUGAUUACACAAUUACCGAACUAUUAUUAUAACAGGAUUUAGUAUAUUCAUUGUCAUGUAGCUAAUGGAAAGAAGACUGAAGCCCGUCUAACUGGCGGGGGCCCACCACCACCUCCCCUCACCCCAUCUGAGGAUCUGGCUCUGUCCCUUAUUAAAGGGCGACCAGUUGUUGCUGGCCUUCCAGGGGGCAGUUCCUCGCACACACCAUGCACCACAAGUGAUGGUGAAAAAAUGGUGAAAUAUACUGAUGGACGGAUUGUAUUAUUGGACCCUCCAGAAAGAACACAGUCUGUCACAGUUGAUGAAGAUGACGAUGAAGAGACUACAUCUGCUGUGACAGAAGUGGACAAUGCUGGUAGAUCCACUGAGUACAUACCUAGAGAUUUGCCCACAGAUGAGGGACCUUCAACCUCAGCACACAAUCUAAGCAGGGUAAGAAUUUGUGUCCAGGUGUCCAUAUUUGAAUUUUAUUGCCUGACCAAACAAUCUCAUUCAUUACAUUUUUUCCACCUUCCUAGUUGCCAGCAAAGGAGCUGUAUAAAGUCCAUCUUCAAAAACAAAUAAGAAAAAGUGACAUGGAGAUGGACCUUAUACAGCUUCAAAUGGAAGAGAAAAGGCUCCGCAUUAAAAAGCAGCACUUGAAAUUGAAUUACUGGAGCAUCGCAUUAAGGUGUUCCUCUGGGCCAUCUUCCUCAAUACAAGGAGGGUGGCUCUCUCCUCUUGUGAAGCACAACACAAGCCACUAAAAUGUCGCAUGCCCUCUCUGGACUAACC